rnacentral:lncRNA from 1 species
UCUCCGGCAGCGACACAAAAUAGAAUAAGCUACUUGGGAACCUAAGGAAGCUAUGAGAAAGCAAUAACCAAACCUCUUUUCUGGUAAGAUUUUCGAGGACGAAAAUUUCUUUAGGGGUGCUUAGUGGUUAAGCAUGAGUAGUCAUCAUUGGAAAUUGAAUAAAUUAUUAAGGGUAAUUUUGGAAAUUAGUGAUUUAAGUUAUAGUAAAUAAAAUAAUCUAUUCUCAUUAUCAUCCACC